GAGAUUGAGGCCAAGUUUGUUGAGAAGGAAGAGGUCAAAGACUCUGGUGACAGUGCAGGGUCUGCAGGAGGAAAGGGUAAAGAGGGGAAGAAAGACAAAGAGAAGAAGAAGGAGAAGUCGGAGAAUCAUGAAGAUGACGAAGAUGAUGAGAAGGUGAUCAAGAAGAAGGACAAAAAGGAGAAAGACAAGAAAACGAAGGAAGAUGGCGAAGAUUCAGAAAAGGCAGACAAAGACAAGAAGGAUAAGAAGGCUAAAGAGAAGGAUGGAUCAAAGUCGAAGGAUUCAAGUGGCGAGAAACAAGAGAAAAUGAAAGAU
rnacentral:lncRNA from 1 species